AGGAAUGGCAGCGGGACGCGGAAACAGAACUGACAGAACUUGUUAGACACCAUGAACACCACAUGUGAAACUACUGUAGGGGUUCUCAUUGGAGCGAGUGAGCGUAUGCACGAUGUCGCCUCAAUGGGUUCUAGUGAGCGAAAACACCGGUCUUACCACCCCAGAUCAGCGCUCCAGAAGCUCCUCUCUAUGGUGGAGCCCAUUAUGAGACCCCUGACUAUUGAACUAUACGAAACUGAGAAAGAAGAGUACGCCAGCUCGCAGCACAGUAUUGACGAGAUAAUCUGUCACGCCGGGCAGCGCAACUCUUUUCAACAGUUCCUGCGAGCGCGCGAGACCGAAUCCUGCUCCUUUGUCAAGGAGUUCCAGUUUCUGUGUCUCUGCAAGGAGUUUAGGGAGUGGGGAGACAAACUUCAGUACGGACCAUAUCGGAUCAGGGUCUUAGCGAACUAUAUCUACCACAAUUUUAUCAGAGAGGGUGGCGCGCAGUCGCUCGCGCUCAGCGACGUUAUCAGACGGAACAUUGAGCGCAUGCGGAACAGCGUCGGGAAAGUGAACUCAGCACUGUUUGAGGAAGCUUAUCAGUACGUAUCGAUGGUGAUUAUUCAACAGAACGUAGUAAAAUCAUUUGUUGAGAGUCACUACUAUCAGACUAUGUGGGAGGACGAGGAAAUGGAUUGUAACUUGUUUAAAGCGCUCAGUUUGGGUGGAGCCGCGUCACUUCACACGUCGCGCCACAAACCCUUCGCGGGCGGUUCUGUCGGAUCCUCUGACGCAUCCUCCUGCUCAAGCUCCGUUUCUAGAUACUCCAGAUCAAAUUUCUUUGGAGACGGGUUGAGUUCGGAAGCGUCGUCAGCGAUAGUUAGCGAAAUUCAGAGCAUAGCCUCAAGCAAAAGCGGCAGCAGCAAAUCAUCAACUGGCAGCAACGCAUCGGCAGCCUUUGACAAGUACUACUCGUCUAAAAACUCACAGAUGAAAUCGAACAAAAAGAAAGGUGUGGUUAACCCCGCGAAGCUGAUGGAGGAGCUCCUGCCUAGGUUGGAGAUCAUAUCUUUGGAGCAGAGCAUGAGAGUACAGAACUUCGGCAGUCUCGAUCAAGGACCUCAUGGUGGAGACACGCCUGUUGUAGUUCUGAUGCGGAAGAAGGAACGAGAGGGAGAAGAGGAGGGCCCCGUUGACAUGGGGAGCCUGAACCACAUGACCCACCACUCUCUCCCUCAACAGAUGGUCACCAGUACUUUACAGCCCUUCACUCAACCCCAACAACCUCCCUCCUCUCUCUACCCCUCCUCCCAACCAGCCCGCCCCUCUGAUAAGCAGCAGUGUGUGAGAGAACGGAGCGCCAGUACUCAGUCUGUGGAGGCCAUGGUCUGUGACGAGGAGGAACCUGUAAUCAGGCAACCAGAACAACAACCCUCUGAACAACCUGCCCGGCCCGCUUGGACAGAGCAGGUAACUGCCCUUGUAAAAUAACACUUUUGCUGGUUUAUAUAUCGGGUUUUUACCAUAUCGGGUUUUUACCAUAUCAAACGCGGGAGGAUUUCACUUUGUAAAAAGGAGAUAUCGGAUUAUUGGUAAUUACUUGCACCUAGCACUAUUUGAACCUAGCACUCGCCUCGAAUACUGAUUAUUGUGAUUACAGUAUCUGAUAUCCUACGUGCCCAUAUCCAUAAUGAACUAUUUAACAGAGAUCCCCCCUCUCUCUCUCUCUCUCACCCUCUCUCUAUCCCCUGUUUCAUCCUGGUUCACGGAUAGGAGAUACAAUCGAGUUACAAAUCUGUGCUCUGGUCACUACAUUUCCACUAAUACCAUUACCUGAACCUCAGCACAGAAUGAGAUAUUUAUCUCCCCCCUCAUUACACACCUCAUAUCAUAUUGGUAACUUUGUUAUCUUCUAUUCCCCCUGAUAAGCUUCCCUCGUGUUGUGACGACCUAGUAAAGAAUAUUAUGAAGGAGUAAACUGAUCAGCUUCUCUUUCAGACGACGCAGCAAAGUACAGGGAGUGGUCAAGCGCGUUCAAGCGAUCCUAACCGAGCCCCCGACGUUCAGAUAGCAUAUACCUACAGUACAGACUCUAUAUGUUACGUGAAAGUGUUGCCGGGACCGAACGUGACCUUGCAACAAUUCAAGGAAGUUGUGGCUUGGAACAAUCCUGUUCCAAAUUCUAGAUAUUUUUUCAAGAGGCAGUUGCCUGGAAUCGGAGAGGUACACGAGGAGAUCAGUCUAGAUAGCUCCGCGCUUCCCUUCUGGGCUCCCAAUACGAUAUUUGGCCGCGUGGAACGCGGGCUGGACUGAAAGAUUCAGAAAUGAUUCUUAUCUUCUGAUACACCAAAAGACUGAAUGUUGAUCAUAGAUCUAUUAACUCGAGAAACAAUAAAGCCCCUUCAUUAUAUUUGACUGAGACGAUCAAGUUGUUAGGUAGAUCAGUAAUGUGUGAUCUUGUUAGAACUCACGGGGGGUUGUCAUGACUACCCCCCAACUCACCCCCUGCAUGACAGAAAACAGAUUGUAACGACAUUUGUACGACUAUUUAUCAAUAUUUCUCGUGUAUUAAACCUAACAUAAGCAAAAUUAUCGAACUUCGCUAGAUGGGUUAAACAAUUUUAUCUGUUUUGUACUUUAGUUAUUUCUACUCACUGCACACGGAAACAGUGUUCUGUGUUUAGGGACGGUUACCCCUCAGAAUAGUUAGUGUCCGGGGUUGCGCAAUUGUUAGCCCAAUCAACACUAGUUCCCAUUGGAACAUCUUCAACGGACUGCGAUAACAGUUCGCUGAGUUUUAUAUUUCCAAACAAUCAAACGAUGCAAUGCUGUACUUUUAAUAUUUUUAGUUUUAUUUAAGAUAA